rnacentral:rRNA from 1 species
UGGGGAAUAUUGCGCAAUGGGGGGAACCCUGACGCAGCCAUGCCGCGUGAAUGAAGAAGGCCUUCGGGUUGUAAAGUUCUUUCGGUAUUGAGGAAGGUUGAUGUGUUAAUAGCACAUCAAAUUGACGUUAAAUACAGAAGAAGCACCGGCUAACUCCGUGCCAGCAGCCGCGGUAAUACGGAGGGUGCGAGCGUUAAUCGGAAUAACUGGGCGUAAAGGGCACGCAGGCGGUUAUUUAAGUGAGGCGUGAAAGCCCUGGGCUUAACCUAGGAAUUGCAUUUCAGACUGGGUAACUAGAGUACUUUAGGGAGGGGUAGAAUUCCACGUGUAGCGGUGAAAUGCGUAGAGAUGUGGAGGAAUACCGAAGGCGAAGGCAGCCCCUUGGGAAUGUACUGACGCUCAUGUGCGAAAGCGUGGGGAGCAAACAGGAUUAGAUACCCUGGUAGUCCACGCUGUAAACGCUGUCGAUUUGGGGAUUGGGCUUAGAGCUUGGUGCCCGUAGCUAACGUGAUAAAUCGACCGCCUGGGGAGUACGGCCGCAAGGUUA